rnacentral:rRNA from 1 species
GACGAACGCUGGCGGCGUGCUUAACACAUGCAAGUCGAACGGAAAGGCCCUGCUUUUGUGGGGUGCUCGAGUGGCGAACGGGUGAGUAACACGUGAGUAACCUGCCCUUGACUUUGGGAUAACUUCAGGAAACUGGGGCUAAUACCGGAUAGGAGCUCCUGCUGCAUGGUGGGGGUUGGAAAGUUUCGGCGGUUGGGGAUGGACUCGCGGCUUAUCAGCUUGUUGGUGGGGUAGUGGCUUACCAAGGCUUUGACGGGUAGCCGGCCUGAGAGGGUGACCGGCCACAUUGGGACUGAGAUACGGCCCAGACUCCUACGGGAGGCAGCAGUGGGGAAUAUUGCACAAUGGGCGGAAGCCUGAUGCAGCAACGCCGCGUGCGGGAUGACGACCUUCGGGUUGUAAACCGCUUUCGCCUGUGACGAAGCGUGAGCGACGGUAAUGGGUAAAGAAGCACCGGCUAACUACGUG